UGGACAUACGGCCUCUUGGUACUCGGCUGACACACUGUAUUUUACAUUCUGCUGUCCCCCUCAAAUACAAUUAUCUUAAAUGCCUAAGGACACUGGUCCUGGAGUUUUUGCUGCUGAAAAAAUAUUGAAAAAGAGAUAUAAAAAGGGGCGAGCUGAGUAUUUAAUAAAAUGGC
rnacentral:lncRNA from 1 species